UCGAGCGAGUCUGCCUUGAAGAUCGGAGUGCUUGCACUCUGUGAAACAAGAUACAGGCUAGCGGCGGACGGGUGAGUAACACGUGGGUAACCUGCCCAAGAGAUCGGGAUAACACCUGGAAACAGAUGCUAAUACCGGAUAACAACAGAUGAUGCCUAUCAACUGUUUAAAAGAUGGUUCUGCUAUCACUCUUGGAUGGACCUGCGGUGCAUUAGCUAGUUGGUAGGGUAACGGCCUACCAAGGCGAUGAUGCAUAGCCGAGUUGAGAGACUGAUCGGCCACAUUGGGACUGAGACACGGCCCAAACUCCUACGGGAGGCAGCAGUAGGGAAUCUUCCACAAUGGACGCAAGUCUGAUGGAGCAACGCCGCGUGAGUGAAGAAGGGUUUCGGCUCGUAAAGCUCUGUUGUUGGUGAAGAAGGACAGGGGUAGUAACUGACCUUUGUUUGACGGUAAUCAAUUAGAAAGUCACGGCUAACUACGUGCCAGCAGCCGCGGUAAUACGUAGGUGGCAAGCGUUGUCCGGAUUUAUUGGGCGUAAAGCGAGUGCAGGCGGUUCGAUAAGUCUGAUGUGAAAGCCUUCGGCUCAACCGGAGAAUUGCAUCAGAAACUGUCGAGCUUGAGUACAGAAGAGGAGAGUGGAACUCCAUGUGUAGCGGUGAAAUGCGUAGAUAUAUGGAAGAACACCGGUGGCGAAGGCGGCUCUCUGGUCUGUUACUGACGCUGAGGCUCGAAAGCAUGGGUAGCGAACAGGAUUAGAUACCCUGGUAGUCCAUGCCGUAAACGAUGAGUGCUAAGUGUUGG
rnacentral:rRNA from 1 species